GUUCAUAUAGCARAUGGUCACCCCAAAGGUGUGAAACUGAGAACACAAAUGGUGUUGYCYGCGACAAACAUUGUAAGCACUGCUUACGCAUUUUGUGUUCUCAGGUCACCCCUUUGGGGCACCUUGCUUACAUGCAC
rnacentral:pre_miRNA from 1 species